CCCUUAGAUGUUCUGGGCCGCACGCGCGCUACAAUGAUUGUCUCAGCAUGUUUUGGGUGUGUAAAUACCCAGGAAUCCCGAGUAACAAUCGUGAUGGGGCUAGACCCUUGCAAUUUUUGGUCUCCAACGAGGAAUUCCUAGUAAAGGCAGGUCAUUAACCUGCCUUGAUUACGUCCCUGCCCUUUGUACACACCGCCCGUCGCUCCUACCGAUCGAAGAGUUAGGUGAAUUGUUUUGAUCGAUAAGAUUUGACUAUGGUCAACUCUCGUUGUGAAAUUCUGUGAAUCUGACUGUUUAGAGGAAGGAAAAGUCGUAACA
rnacentral:rRNA from 1 species